rnacentral:lncRNA from 1 species
AAUAGUGCCUUCUCUCCACCAACAACGACAAGUUUGUCGUUCUUCACAAAUUUCAACUUCUAGUGAAGAGUAGGCAUCAUUGCUCCUGCCUCAUGAAUCCAUGGCCUUCCCAAUAAACAACUAUAGGUCGGGAAGGUAUCAAUUACCUGGAAAGUAAUUUGGAAAUUACUCGGACUUAUCUUAAUUGGAAGGUCCACUUCACUAAUGACGGUUUUUCGAGAACCAUCAAAC